UGGGGAAUUUUGGACAAUGGGCGAAAGCCUGAUCCAGCAAUGCCGCGUGCGGGAAGAAGGCCUUCGGGUUGUAAACCGCUUUUGUCAGGGAAGAAAUCUUCUGAGUUAAUACCUCGGGAGGAUGACGGUACCUGAAGAAUAAGCACCGGCUAACUACGUGCCAGCAGCCGCGGUAAUACGUAGGGUGCAAGCGUUAAUCGGAAUUACUGGGCGUAAAGCGUGCGCAGGCGGUUUUGUAAGACAGAGGUGAAAUCCCCGGGCUCAACCUGGGAACUGCCUUUGUGACUGCAAGGCUUGAGUGCGGCAGAGGGGGAUGGAAUUCCGCGUGUAGCAGUGAAAUGCGUAGAUAUGCGGAGGAACACCGAUGGCGAAGGCAAUCCCCUGGGCCUGCACUGACGCUCAUGCACGAAAGCGUGGGGAGCAAACAGGAUUAGAUACCCUGGUAGUCCACGCCCUAAACGAUGUCAACUGGUUGUUGGGAGGGUUCCUUCUCAGUAACGUAGCUAACGCGUGAAGUUGACCGCCU
rnacentral:rRNA from 1 species